rnacentral:rRNA from 1 species
UGAGUAACACGUAUCCAACCUGCUGUCUACUCUUGGCCAGCCUUCUGAAAGGAAGAUUAAUCCAGGAUGGCAUCAUGAGUUCACAUGUCCGCAUGAUUAAAGGUAUUUUCCGGUAGACGAUGGGGAUGCGUUCCAUUAGAUAGUAGGCGGGGUAACGGCCCACCUAGUCAACGAUGGAUAGGGGUUCUGAGAGGAAGGUCCCCCACAUUGGAACUGAGACACGGUCCAA